AGAAGUGUAAAAAUGAUGACAGUAGGAGUUGAGUGGAGGAGAUGGCAAGUUGAGCGGAGGAGGUGGCAGUGGGGCCCCAGAUCAGGUGCCUCCAUGGCAGGCUCUGAAGAGCUGGGGCUCCGGGAAGACACGCUGAGGGUCCUAGCUGCCUUCCUUAGGCGUGGUGAGGCUGCUGGGUCUCCUGUUCCAAAUCCACCUAGAAGCCAUGCCCAAGAAGAGCCAACAGACUUCCUGAGCCGCCUUCGAAGAUGUCUUCCCUGCUCCCUGGGGCGAGGAGCAGCCCCCUCUGAGUCCCCUCGGCCUUGGUCUCUGCCCAUCCGCCCCUGCUAUGGUUCAGAGCCUGGCCCAGCUACUCCAGACUUCUAUGCCUUGGUGGCCCAGCGGCUGGAACAGCAAGAGCAACUGAAAUCUCCGCCUAGCCCUGCUGGCCUCGGACCCCGCCCUGCCGCAGCAAGCGGAUCAGCCUGGCCUCCGGCUUUUUCGCCCGCCUGGUGGAGCUGUUCUGUAGCCGGGAGGACAGCUCUCGCCCAAGCCGAGCAUGCCCCGGGCCCCCGCCUCCUUCCCAGGAGCCCCUGGCCCUGGCCAUGGAGCUGAGCCGGCGCGUGGCCGAGCUGGGGGACACCCGGGCCGGACUCAGCGUAGAGCACGCGCACAGCCUCACGCCCUGGAUCCAGGCCCACGGGGGCCGGGUGAGCCGCUGAAGCCUCUCUCUCCCGGCCUCACUUUACCCGAC
rnacentral:lncRNA from 1 species